GGACAGUUGGGUGAGUCGGCUGAAACCACCUCCCUGCUAAGGAGGCAUACCCUUUAUCGGGUAUCGAGGGUUCGAAUCCCUCACUGUCCGCCA
rnacentral:tRNA from 1 species